ACCCUCCAGAAUCUUUACCUAUCAGACCACUGGUCUGACUGGGUAUAAGAGGAGGCAAAGUAAAAUUAAAACUGGCUGAAAUUCUUUUGUGACACACAGCUAAUUUCAAACUAAC
rnacentral:snoRNA from 1 species